UGACCCAUCAGUGAUACUGCAAUAAAGACAAAAACAAAGAGGGUAACUCUAAAACACACAAGCCCCCUGCACAGAUGGACUGCAGUUUAUUUAUUUAUUUACUAUAUUUAUACCCCGCUCUUCUCAACCCUGAAGGGGACUCAGAGCGGCUUACAGAUUAUGGCAAAAUUCAAUGCCGCAUUAUACAACAAAUAAUAAAUAUAACAUAUCAAAUUAUAAAACAAUUAAAACAUAUACAUGCAAUAAAACAUUAAAACAUAGUUUUAAAGGAGCAGAUGAAGAACCACUAUUGCCAACAUUCUCACAUUGGCCAUUUCACAGGGCUCAUGCCAUCCUGUUGCCACAUAUUCAAUGGAAGCAAGCACCUUUUUGUAUCCUACAAAGUGCACACUUAUAUAAUAUUGUCAUACAGGAGUCACUCAAGCACUACAAAUAUCAAUAUUAGGACAACUGUUUCACCAUCUCAUUGCGAAAGACGAUCUGCAACACUCAGGAACCCAUGAAAGGUUGAGCUUCUUAGUGUAAUAAGGAUCAUAGAUCCCUUAUUAUGCCUCAAAAAUCAUUAAGGUCAGAUAUUUACUAUGACAGGAAUCUAUCUCGAGCAUCUGUCUCCUGCAGAUUGACAAAAGGUCUGUCAGCACAAGUUAUAUUAAACUGAAAGAAGUACAGUAUGUACCAAAGUUAUUCACUUAUCUGAUUGACAGACAGACAGAACAUUCCCUUCAAGCAAUAGGGUCGUAGUGCAACCUCAAAACAUAGAUUGGUCAUCCAAGUACAAGACAUAGUAAUGAAAUAUUUUCUAAAUAUAAUCUACCUAAUCAUGCAAGAAAGAUUACUUGGCAUGCAUAUCUACACCACUCAUUAUCUUGUCUGAAGUAGUCCUUGAUAAUCCAAAGGAUUAUCCAUAAAACUGCCACCAGUGUGCAGAAAGGAAUGAGGAAGUUGGCUUCACAGUGGAUGAUGAAGCAGCUGCUCCCCCUGUGGCCGGAAUCGAGCAUACCCUCAGGAAGCUGGAAGCUGGAGAAGGUUAAAUUGCCUCUGUCUCUGUCUCUAUCUCUAUGUUCAUAUGGCAUUGAAUGUUUGCCUUGUAUGUGUACAAUGUGAUCCACCCUGAGACCCCUUCGGGGUGAGAAGGGCGGAAUAUAAAUACUGUAAAUAAAUAAAGAAAUAAAUAUUCCAUCCCUAAAGGUGGCCUAAAAAUGAUUUUCAAUAAACAGAAGCAGGGAAAACUGCACAAUGAAUUGGCUAACUUUCAACCGAUCUACCUUUCAUCCUAAAUUGAAUUGUUCAGUUGCUCCAAUUUUUUCCAUUGCCAACAAGAGGAUCAAUUCAUAAUCUAUUCAACUAUGCAGAUUCUUUAGUGAGACAAAAGAAAUCAUGACUACAUUUCACAAUUAUAGAGACAUUCUCAAAGUAAGGUAAAGGUAAAGGUUUUCUCCUGGCAUUAAGUCUAGUCGUGUCCGACUCUGGGGAUUGGUGCUCAUCUCCAUUUCUAAGCUGAAGAGCCAGCACUGUCUGUAGACACCUCUGAAGUCAUGUGGCAGGCAUGACUGCAUGGAGCACUGUUAUCUUCCCAUUGGAGCAGUACCUAUUGAUGUACUCACAUUUGCUUGUUUUUGAACUGCUAGGUUGGCAAAAGCUGGGGCGGAUUUGAACCGCCAACCUUUCGGUCAGUAAGUUCAGCAGCUCAGUGAUUUUACCUGCUGCGCCACGAUUUAGACCACUUCUUUAAAAUAGCCCAAGAGAUGCAAAAAUCAUGGAAGAAUGAAUUACUACCGGGAUGCUUUGUAUCUAUACAUAGUUUUACUGUUAUGUAUGGGUAAGUGUGUACGUUUUGUAUGUUUCACAUGUUUUGAUAUGGUCAAAAUUGACUAAUCAAUAAAGAGUUGUUGUUGUUGAAUUACUACCAUAUCAGUGUAGUGCAUUUUAGGCAAAAAUAAUGGGAAUUUGGAAUAUGCUGAGCAGUCCAUAGAUCACAUUUCCCUCAAGUCUUAAAGGGUAUUAUUUACACAGUGGAAGCACUGUUGAAUGCUGCAUUAUUCCUGUUAAAAAAGAAGUCACAGGCUUGUAUCCAAUGCAAACAUAAAUCCCUACUGUUGUGUCAAGGAUAAUUGUUCUCCAUCCUCUUCAGAGUGCCAGUCUUGUAUGAACUAUGAGUUUCUCUACAAUUCAUAUUGUAACCGAUUGUGUUUGGUUUCAUUGAACCAACACUCAAAUGUGGUGUGUUGAGGACACUGAAAAAACUGUAUAUUAUCAUGAAUUUUAGUCACCCAGAAGAGGAAAAAGUUGUCAAGGGUAAAGGAAAGUUGUAUUUUAGAAACUACUUGCACCAGGUAGCUAUGCAGUACUAUGAUGGUUCGGUAUCACUGCAAUGAAUGAUUAUGCUCACAAACUUAUCCCAAACCAUUCUGUUGUGUCAAAGAAUUGUAAUCCUAGUCAGUUAAGUGGAUUGUAACUAAUUUCUCAAGAAGUAGUACAAAGUACCCAAAAUGCCAUUUCCACAGACCACUGGGGUAAUUGUCCUACCAAUCCUUUAAAAUCUUUUAUCAAGAAUGUGACAGUACCAUAUCAUUACCAAAAGAAGCUGGAAGACAUUCUUUUGGCGUGUUCUGCUCUCAAAUGCCUUUUGUAACUACCUUCUCAUGGUAGAAAGAGGCCCUCUUUUUUCUUGCUUAGAGGAAUGGAAUAAAAUUCCCAUAUCUAAAUGCCUAAAGAGCCAUUCUGAAUAAAGCUCAGAAAGUUCUGAGAGGAGUGACAUUUUCAAGGAGAAAUUUUUAAUAGAAUUCAGCAUCACACAGCUCAAGUCUGAAGUCCUCAAUGAGAAGCAGGUAGAUAGUAUUAACUUAAACCUUUUCAAACUUUUAAGAUUUAACUCUGCAUCUCGCUUCCUUAAGCUUAAUAAUUCUUUACAGCCACAUU
ensembl:lncRNA